UACGGAGGGUGCAAGCGUUGUCCGGAAUCAUUGGGUGUAAAGGGUGUGUAGGUGGACCUGUAAGUCAGGGGUGAAAGCCCGCAGCUUAACUGCGGAACUGCCUUUGAUACUGCAGGUCUUGAGUCCUGGAGGGGCUACUAGAAUUCGUGGUGUAGCGGUGAAAUGCGUAGAUAUCACGAGGAAUACCAGAGGCGUAGGCGGGUAGCUGGACAGGCACUGACACUGAGGCACGAAAGCGUGGGGAGCAAACAGG
rnacentral:misc_RNA from 1 species